rnacentral:pre_miRNA from 1 species
CAAAUACUCCCUCCGUCCGGAAAUACUUGUCAUCAAAAUGGAUAAAAGGAAAUGUAUCUAGAAGUAUUUUAGUUUUAGAUACAUCUAUUUUUAUCCAUUUUGAUGAUAAGUAUUUUCGAACGGAGGGAGUAGAAA